rnacentral:lncRNA from 1 species
GGUCGCACGAAUUGUAUGUUUUUCGAUAUAUUUUUUUUGUAUUAGUUAUAUUUUUUAUUACAUUGACAAUUGGCUUUUUAUGAAAUCAAAGUAGCAACGCUUAUUGUUGUAUGACGUCAUAUAAGUUGAAUAACCACGUCUACUUCACAUGUUAAAUUAUCGUUUUUUAUUUCACUGGGUAAUCAAUGUAAUUCAUUGCAACCAAUGUC